AUUCUGUCUGGAGUCGUACCACAUCAGUGGCAUCGAGGGACGUCCAGUAACUCUGCAGUGUCCUAAUUCAGGACAACAACAUGAUAACAAGAAGUUCCUCUGUAAAGGAGACCAACACAACAACUGUACAGACAUGAUGGAGAACCAAACAAAGUUCAAGCUGCUCAAUGUCUCCUCCAUCUGUUUCUCUGUGAUCAUCACUGAACUGGAAGCAGCUGAUGCAGGAACAUACUACUGUGGUUCAGACUCUCAGCUGAGAUUCAUAAAGAUACAGCUGGCAGUCGUCUCACUGCAUGAAACCAGCUCUGCUGAACAAGUUACAUCACAGCCAUCAUCAAAUAAUCCUGAUCUGACCUUAUUUUACAUUCUGCGUGUCGU